UGAAAUGGAGAUUGGGAAGACUUUCAAAAAGCAAGCACAAGAGGUCUCUAUAGUGUGAAACAGUCACUUCUUGGCUGAGGUACACAGCCCCUGCUUCUGUUGUAAAUCCAAGGAGUUUCUGCUAAAGGUAGAAGAAAAGGAUUAUGAGAUAAGAAUCUAGUUUCACCUUCACUAACGGCAGGAAGACAUUCUUCACUUUGGGCAUUGCUGCUGCUGUUGUUUGCUGCUAUUGUUUGCCCCAACAAGAUGUUCUAUUAUGAUCUCAUCAAGACUGAUAAAUAUUUUUAUAAACAAUUGAACCAAAGCAAUGAGUUAAAUAAGUAUUAUGAAGUAAUUUAAAAUGGGAAGUACCAAUAUUUAAUUCAUAUC